rnacentral:rRNA from 1 species
CUCGCCUCCAUGACAACGGAAUCCCUAGUAAUCAGAAUUCAACACGUUCUGGUGAAUACGUCCCUUGGCCUUGCACACACCGCCCGUCAAACCAACCGAGCAGGGCUUAGGUGAGAGAUAGUCUUUAGACUACUUCGAAUCUAAGUUCAGUAAGGUGGGUUAAGUCGUCACAAGGUAGCCGUAGGGGAACCUGCGGCUGGAUCACCUCCU